CUGGUCUCACAUCCGAGCCAAUGUCAUCUUCAUUUCUGUUUCCGUCACUGAGCACCACAAACGGGCAAUUGAUAGGAACAGAGUCUGUCGCCAGGCGCGGUGGCACACACCUGUAAUCCCAGGGGCUCGGGAGGGUGCGGCAGGAGGAUGGCGAACUCAAAGCCAGCCUCCGCAAUGGCGAGGCCCUAAGCAACUCACGAACACGCCGAUUCACAAACGGACACAUGCAUUCACCCCACUAAUCCAUGAAGGGACUCAUCCACUCCCCCACAAAUGGAUUAACCCACUAACCCACCGACUGACUAGUUCACUGAUCUAUAAAUGCACUCAUCCACAAACGACGAUCCCACUAAUCCACGAACGGAGUGACCCAUAAAUAGACCAACCCCCGACCACAAAUAGAUUAGCGCACUAACGCAGUGCGGACUAAUGCGUGAGCACACAGUCCUUAUGUGGAUUAAUCCACUAAUCCGUGAAUGGACUAAUCAGACUCCUCCGCUAAUCCACGAAUGGAUUCGUCCAUUGUCCGCGUGGCCCACUCAUCUCCCAGAGACCCCACCUCCGAACACAAGUGGCUACUGAGUUUGGCAGUUGGGUCUCCAGCACCCGAAUGCUGGGGACACGCACAGCCUAGUCCAGGUCGUAGCCGUCUCUGGGCUAAGGAGAGUCCUUCCUGCAGCUGCGGCAGCGCCUCCUGCGGGAGAAGGAGGUGAAGCUCAGGCGGGCCCUGGAGAGGCUGCGCAGGAAGAGGCAGC
rnacentral:lncRNA from 1 species